rnacentral:rRNA from 1 species
UACGUAGGGCGCAAGCGUUAUCCGGAAUUAUUGGGCGUAAAGCGCUCGUAGGCGGUUUGUCGCGUCUGCCGUGAAAGUCCGGGGCUCAACUCCGGAUCUGCGGUGGGUACGGGCAGACUAGAGUGAUGUAGGGGAGACUGGAAUUCCUGGUGUAGCGGUGAAAUGCGCAGAUAUCAGGAGGAACACCGAUGGCGAAGGCAGGUCUCUGGGCAUUAACUGACGCUGAGGUGCGAAAGCAUGGGGAGCGAACAGG